CACGUAGGGUGCGAGCGUUGUCCGGAAUUAUUGGGCGUAAAGAGCUCGUAGGCGGUGUGUCGCGUCGGCCGUGAAAACUUGGGGCUUAACUCUGAGCGUGCGGUCGAUACGGGCAUCACUUGAGUUCGGCAGGGGAGACUGGAAUUCCUGGUGUAGCGGUGAAAUGCGCAGAUAUCUGGAGGAAUACCGGUGGCGAAGGCGGCAUCCUGGACCAUUACUGACGCUGAGGCGCGAAAGCUAGGGGAGCAAACGGG
rnacentral:rRNA from 1 species